UACAGGGGGUGCAAACGUUGCUCGGAAUCAUUGGGCGUAAAGCGCACGUAGGCGGUUCGUUAUGUCGGAUGUGAAAGCCCCUUGGCUUAACCGAGGAAGUGCAUCCGAAAACUGGGCGAGCUAGAGUACUAAAAGAGGAUCGCGGGAAAUUCCCCGGUGUAGAGGUGAAAAUUCGUAGAUAUCGGGAGGAACACCGGUGGCGAAGGCGGC
rnacentral:rRNA from 1 species